rnacentral:rRNA from 1 species
GCUUACACAUGCAAGNNNNNAACGAGAACGGCUCUAGCUUGCUAGAGUGUCAGCUAAGUGGCGGACGGGUGAGUAAUGUAUAGCUAACGUGCCCCUUGGAGAGGGAUAACAGUUGGAAACGACUGCUAAUACCUCAUACUCCUUCUGUAUUAAUUACAGUUGGGAAAUGUUUUUUCGCCAAGGGAUCGGGCUAUAUGGUAUCAGGUAGUUGGUGGGGUAAGAGCCCACCAAGCCAAUGACGCCUAGCUGGUCUGAGAGGAUGAUCAGCCACACUGGAACUGAGACACGGUCCAGACUCCUACGGGAGGCAGCAGUGGGGAAUAUUGCACAAUGGAGGAAACUCUGAUGCAACAACGCCGCGUGGAGGAUGACGCAUUUCGGUGUGUAAACUCCUUUUAUAUGGGAAGAUAAUGACGGUACCAUAUGAAUAAGCACCGGCUAACUCCGUGCCAGCAGCCGCGGUAAUACGGAGGGUGCAAAGNGGUUACUCCGGAAUCACUGGGCGUAAGGCGCGCGCAGGCGGGCCCGAUAA